rnacentral:rRNA from 1 species
UACGUAGGGUGCGAGCGUUAAUCGGAAUUACUGGGCGUAAAGCGUGCGCAGGCGGCGCCGCAAGUCAGGCGUGAAAUCCCCGAGCUUAACUUGGGAAUGGCGCUUGAAACUACGGUGCUGGAGUGUGGCAGAGGGAGGGUGGGAUUCCACGUGUAGCGGUGAAAUGCGUAGAGAUGUGGAGGAACACCGAUGGCGAAGGCAGCCUCCUGGGCCAACACUGACGCUCAUGCACGAAAGCGUGGGGAGCAAACAGG